rnacentral:lncRNA from 1 species
UACGGGACAACCCCGCCCGGACUUCUACGGAAGCCAGACUUUGCCUAGGACUUUGGUUGCAGGAAAACGAAAGCUUUGCCCUGGCCCCUACGAGAACCAAGCUACUCCAACUUCAGGAGGACUUCUCCGCUCGGACUCCCAAGGGAGCCGGACUCAGCUCCGACAUCAACAGAGAAGAAACCCAAGCAAAAAAGAAAGCAAACAGUGCCCGAAGGCAACGGAAGCCUGGACCCCCAAAUUCAAGCCCUAGGGGGGACUUCGGGCCCGAAGGGCCCCAAGCGAGCCUGCAGCCGUCAACGGAAUCACAAUUGGGUAUCUUCGAACGGCGUAAGAACUGAAAAAAUAGCUCGACAAACGAUAACCCCACAUGAACUGAAGAGGCCGCCGACGACCUUGGGACGACGUGACAC